rnacentral:sRNA from 1 species
AGCUUGUCUGAUCCCGACUUGAAGAUGC